rnacentral:rRNA from 1 species
GACGAACGCUGGCGGCGUGCUUAACACAUGCAAGUCGAACGGAAAGGCCCUGCUUGCAGGGUACUCGAGUGGCGAACGGGUGAGUAACACGUGGGUGAUCUGCCCUGCACUUCGGGAUAAGCCUGGGAAACUGGGUCUAAUACCGGAUAGGAGCCAUUUUUAGUGCGAUGGUUGGAAAGUUUUUUUCGGUGUAGGAUGAGCUCGCGGCCUAUCAGCUUGUUGGUGGGGUAAUGGCCUACCAAGGCGGCGACGGGUAGCCGGCCUGAGAGGGUGGACGGCCACAUUGGGACUGAGAUACGGCCCAGACUCCUACGGGAGGCAGCAGUGGGGAAUAUUGCACAAUGGGCGCAAGCCUGAUGCAGCGACGCCGCGUGGGGGAUGACGGCCUUCGGGUUGUAAACUCCUUUCGCUAGGGACGAAGCUUUUUGUGACGGUACCUAGAUAAGAAGCACCGGCUAACUACGUG